rnacentral:rRNA from 1 species
CGAGUGGCGAACGGGUGAGUAAUGCAUCGGAACGUACCCAGUAGUGGGGGAUAACUUACCGAAAGGUAAGCUAAUACCGCAUACGCACUGAGGUGGAAAGCAGGGGACCGCAAGGCCUUGCGCUAUUGGAGCGGCCGAUGUCGGAUUAGCUAGUUGGUGGGGUAAAGGCCUACCAAGGCGACGAUCCGUAGCGGGUCUGAGAGGAUGAUCCGCCACACUGGAACUGAGACACGGUCCAGACUCCUACGGGAGGCAGCAGUGGGGAAUUUUGGACAAUGGGCGCAAGCCUGAUCCAGCCAUGCCGCGUGAGUGAAGAAGGCCUUCGGGUUGUAAAGCUCUUUCGGCCGGGAAGAAAUCGUGGUGGCGAAUACCUGCCAUGGAUGACGGUACCGGACUAAGAAGCACCGGCUAACUACGUGCCAGCAGCCGCGGUAAUACGUAGGGUGCGAGCGUUAAUCGGAAUUACUGGGCGUAAAGCGUGCGCAGGCGGUUGUGUAAGACAGGCGUGAAAUCCCCGGGCUCAACCUGGGAACUGCGCUUGUGACUGCACGGCUAGAGUACGGCAGAGGGGGGUGGAAUUCCACGUGUAGCAGUGAAAUGCGUAGAGAUGUGGAGGAACACCGAUGGCGAAGGCAGCCCCCUGGGUCGAUACUGACGCUCAUGCACGAAAGCGUGGGGAGCAAACAGGAUUAGAUACCCUGGUAGUCCACGCCCUAAACGAUGUCGACUAGUUGUUGGAGGGGUAAAACCCUUUAGUAACGUAGCUAACGCGUGAAGUCGACCGCCUGGGGAGUACGGCC